rnacentral:rRNA from 1 species
AAUGAACGCUGGCGGCAUGCCUAACACAUGCAAGUCGAACGAAGGCUUCGGCCUUAGUGGCGCACGGGUGCGUAACGCGUGGGAAUCUGCCCUUGGGUUCGGAAUAACAGUUAGAAAUGACUGCUAAUACCGGAUGAUGUCGUAAGACCAAAGAUUUAUCGCCCAAGGAUGAGCCCGCGUAGGAUUAGCUAGUUGGUGGGGUAAAGGCCUACCAAGGCGACGAUCCUUAGCUGGUCUGAGAGGAUGAUCAGCCACACUGGGACUGAGACACGGCCCAGACUCCUACGGGAAGCAGCAGUGGGGAAUAUUGGACAAUGGGCGAAAGCCUGAUCCAGCAAUGCCGCGUGAGUGAUGAAGGCCUUAGGGUUGUAAAGCUCUUUUACCCGGGAUGAUAAUGACAGUACCGGGAGAAUAAGCGCCGGCUAACUUCGUG